GGUGGCUAAUACCGCAUAACGUCGCAAGACCAAAGAGGGGGACCUUCGGGCCUCUUGCCAUCAGAUGUGCCCAGAUGGGAUUAGCUUGUUGGUGAGGUAACGGCUCACCAAGGCGACGAUCCCUAGCUGGUCUGAGAGGAUGACCAGCCACACUGGAACUGAGACACGGUCCAGACUCCUACGGGAGGCAGCAGUGGGGAAUAUUGCACAAUGGGCGCAAGCCUGAUGCAGCCAUGCCGCGUGUAUGAAGAAGGCCUUCGGGUUGUAAAGUACUUUCAGCGGGGAGGAAGGUGUUGUGGUUAAUAACCGCAGCAAUUGACGUUACCCGCAGAAGAAGCACCGGCUAACUCCGUGCCAGCAGCCGCGGUAAUACGGAGGGUGCAAGCGUUAAUCGGAAUUACUGGGCGUAAAGCGCACGCAGGCGGUCUGUCAAGUCGGAUGUGAAAUCCCCGGGCUCAACCUGGGAACUGCAUUCGAAACUGGCAGGCUUGAGUCUUGUAGAGGGGGGUAGAAUUCCAGGUGUAGCGGUGAAAUGCGUAGAGAUCUGGAGGAAUACCGGUGGCGAAGGCGGCCCCCUGGACAAAGACUGACGCUCAGGUGCGAAAGCGUGGGGAGCAAACAGGAUUAGAUACCCUGGUAGUCCACGCCGUAAACGAUGUCUACUUGGAGGUUGUGCCCUUGAGGCGUGGCUUCCGGAGCUAACGCGUUAAGUAGACCGCCUGGGGAGUACGGCCGCAAGGUUAAAACUCAAAUGAAUUGACGGGGGCCCGCACAAGCGGUGGAGCAUGUGGUUUAAUUCGAUGCAACGCGAAGAACCUUACCUGGUCUUGACAUCCACAGAAGAAUCCAGAGAUGGAUUUGUGCCUUCGGGAACUGUGAGACAGGUGCUGCAUGGCUGUCGUCAGCUCGUGUUGUGAAAUGUUGGGUUAAGUCCCGCAACGAGCGCAACCCUUAUCCUUUGUUGCCAGCGGUUAGGCCGGGAACUCAAAGGAGACUGCCAGUGAUAAACUGGAGGAAGGUGGGGAUGACGUCAAGUCAUCAUGGCCCUUACGACCAGGGCUACACACGUGCUACAAUGGCGCAUACAAAGAGAAGCGACCUCGCGAGAGCAAGCGGACCUCAUAAAGUGCGUCGUAGUCCGGAUUGGAGUCUGCAACUCGACUCCAUGAAGUCGGAAUCGCUAGUAAUCGUGGAUCAGAAUGCCACGGUGAAUACGUUCCCGGGCCUUGUACACACCGCCCGUCACACCAUGGGAGUGGGUUGCAAAAGAAGUAGGUAGCUUAACCUUCGGGAGGGCGCUUACCACUUUGUGAUUCAUGACUGGGGUGAAGUCGUAACAAGGUAACCGUAGGGGAACCUGCGGUUGGAUCACCUCCUUACCUUAAAGAA
rnacentral:rRNA from 1 species